rnacentral:rRNA from 1 species
GUAGGGUGCGAGCGUUAAUCGGAAUUACUGGGCGUAAAGCGUGCGCAGGCGGUUAUAUAAGACAGAUGUGAAAUCCCCGGGCUCAACCUGGGACCUGCAUUUGUGACUGUAUAGCUAGAGUACGGUAGAGGGGGAUGGAAUUCCGCGUGUAGCAGUGAAAUGCGUAGAUAUGCGGAGGAACACCGAUGGCGAAGGCAAUCCCCUGGACCUGUACUGACGCUCAUGCACGAAAGCGUGGGGAGCAAACAGGAUUAGAUACCCUGGUAGUCCACGCCCUAAACGAUGUCAACUGGUUGUUGGGUCUUCACUGACUCAGUAACGAAGCUAACGCGUGAAGUUGACCGCCUGGGGAGUACGGCC